rnacentral:rRNA from 1 species
AUGGCUUCACCGUCGCAGCAAACCGUCGGGUCUCCCGCGCGUCCGCCCGGGCCUCCCCGGCGGCCGGAGUACGUCCCCAACCGCAUCGACGACCCCAACUACAUCCGCAUCUUCGACACCACGGUCCGCGACGGCGAGCAGUCCCCGGGGGCCGCCAUGACCAGCGCCGAGAAGCUCGUCGUCGCGCGCCAGCUCGCGCUCCUCGGCAUCGACGUCAUCGACGCGGGCUUCCCAGCCUCCUCACCUGACGACUUCCGCGCUGUGCGCUCCAUCGCCAUCGAGGUUGGGAACACGCCCGUCGGCGGCCACAUCCCCGUGAUCGGCGGCCUCGCCCGGUGCAACAAGAGGGACAUCGAUGCUGCGUGGGAUGCCGUCAGGCACGCCCGGCGCCCCCGCAUAACCACCUUCAUCGCCACGAGCGAGAUCCACAUGCAGCACAAGCUGCGGAAGACGCCCGAGCAGGUGGUGGCCAUCGCCAGGGAGAUGGUGGCCUACGCGCGCGCUCUUGGAUGCCUCGAUGUAGAGUUCGCCCCCGAAGACUCCGGCAGGUCAAAUAAAGAGUUCCUUUAUCAUAUUCUAGAGGAAGUCAUACAAGCUGGAGCAACAACCAUCACCAUUGCGGAUACUGUUGGGUUCAAUCUUCCUGUCGAAUUCGGCAAAUUAAUUGCUGACAUAAAAGCUAAUACUUCUGGGAUUGAUAAUGUCAUUAUUUCUACUCAUUGCCAUAAUGACCUUGGCCUUGCAACUGCCAACACAUUGGCGGGUGCAUAUGCGGGAGCACGGCAGUUAGAGGUUACUAUUAAUGGUAUCGGUGAAAGAGCUGGAAAUGCUUCGUUGGAGGAGGUACAAGAGUACAGUGGACUUCACGUACAACCUCAUAAAGCUAUUGUUGGUGCCAAUGCCUUUGCUUAUGAAAGUGGAAUUCAUCAGGAUGGGAUGCUUAAAUACAAAGGAACUUAUGAAAUAAUAUCGCCUGACGAUAUUGGUUUAACACGUGCCAACGACUCCGGUAUUGUUCUUGGGAAGCUGAGUGGAAGGCAUGCUGUUAGAUCUGUACUAGUGGAGCAUAUAACUAACGAAGACAUCAAAGCAUUACUAUCUGAUGAGAUAUUUAUGCCCAAGGUUAUUUGCAACCUUGUUGACCUAGUUAAUUGUAUUAACCGGAAACAUAAUACAUGUGUGAAUACAUAG